rnacentral:rRNA from 1 species
CAGCCGCCACGGUAAUACGAAGGGUGCAAGCGUUAAUCGGAAUUACUGGGCGUAAAGCGUGCGUAGGCGGUUUGUUAAGUCUGUUGUGAAAUCCCCGGGCUCAACCUGGGAAUGGCAAUGGAUACUGGCAAGCUAGAGUGUGUCAGAGGAUGGUGGAAUUCCCGGUGUAGCGGUGAAAUGCGUAGAGAUCGGAAGGAACAUCUGUGGCGAAGGCGACUAUCUGGGCCAACACUGACACUGAGGCACGAAAGCGUGGGGAGCAAACAGGAUUAGAUACCCCUGUAGUCCCUGUCUCUUAUAC